rnacentral:rRNA from 1 species
AAUCAACGCUGGCGGCGUGCCUCAGACAUGCAAGUCGAACGAGAACCUCCCUUCGGGGAGGAGACAGUGGCGCACGGGUGAGUAACACGUGGGUAAUUUACCUUUGGGUGGGGAACAACAGCCGGAAACGGCUGCUAAUACCGCAUAAUGCAGCGGCUCGACAUCGAGACAGUUGUUAAAGCGGGGGAUCGCAAGACCUCGCGCCUGAAGAGAAGCCUGCGGCGGAUUAGCUAGUUGGUAGGGUAAUGGCCUACCAAGGCGACGAUCUGUAACCGGCCUGAGAGGGCGGUCGGUCACACUGACACUGACAUACGGGUCAG